rnacentral:rRNA from 1 species
GACGAACGCUGGCGGCGUGCCUAAUACAUGCAAGUCGAACGCUUCUUUCCUCCCGAGUGCUUGCACUCAAUUGGAAAGAGGAGUGGCGGACGGGUGAGUAACACGUGGGUAACCUACCCAUCAGAGGGGGAUAACACUUGGAAACAGGUGCUAAUACCGCAUAACAGUUUAUGCCGCAUGGCAUAAGAGUGAAAGGCGUUUUCGGGUGUCGUUGAUGGAUGGACCCGCGGUGCAUUAGCUAGUUGGUGAGGUAACGGCUCACCAAGGCCACGAUGCAUAGCCGACCUGAGAGGGUGAUCGGCCACACUGGGACUGAGACACGGCCCAGACUCCUACGGGAGGCAGCAGUAGGGAAUCUUCGGCAAUGGACGAAAGUCUGACCGAGCAACGCCGCGUGAGUGAAGAAGGUUUUCGGAUCGUAAAACUCUGUUGUUAGAGAAGAACAAGGACGUUAGUAACUGAACGUCCCCUGACGGUAUCUAACCAGAAAGCCACGGCUAACUACGU